GACGAACGCUGGCGGCGUGCCUAAUACAUGCAAGUAGGACGCAGUUGCGAACGGGUGAGUAACGCGUAGGUAACUACCUAUUAGAGGGGGAUAACUAUUGGAAACGAUAGCUAAUACCGCAUACUAGUAGAUGGACCUGCGUUGUAUUAGCUAGUAGGUAGGGUAAUGGCCUACCUAGGCAACGAUACAUAGCCGACGUUGUAGGGUGCGCGGACACACUGGGCCUGAGAAUCGGCCCAGACCCCCAGCGGCGACAGCAGUAGGGAUUCUUCGGCAAGUGGGGGAAACCUAACCGAGCAACUCCGCGGGAGGGAGGAAGGUUUUCGGAUCGUAAAGCUCUUUUGUUAAGGAAGCGGUACUUAACCAGAAAGGUACGGCUAACUACGUGCCAGCAGCCGCGGUAAUAC
rnacentral:rRNA from 1 species